UUUUACAAUGGAGAGUUUGAUCCUGGCUCAGGAUGAACGCUAGCGGCAGGCCUAAUACAUGCAAGUCGGACGGGAUUGAGGAGCUUGCUUCUCAUGAGAGUGGCGCACGGGUGCGUAACACGUAUGUAACCUACCUUGUUCAGGGGGAUAGCCUCUCGAAAGAGAGAUUAACACCGCAUAAAAUCAAUUUAUGGCAUCAUAGAAUGAUCAAAUAUUUAUAGGAACAAGAUGGGCAUGCGGAACAUUAGCUAGUUGGUAAGGUAACGGCUUACCAAGGCUACGAUGUUUAGGGGAUCUGAGAGGAUGACCCCCCACACUGGUACUGAGACACGGACCAGACUCCUACGGGAGGCAGCAGUAAGGAAUAUUGGUCAAUGGACGCAAGUCUGAACCAGCCAUGCCGCGUGCAGGAAGACGGCCCUACGGGUUGUAAACUGCUUUUGUACCGGAAUAAACCUUUUCACGUGUGAGAAGCUGAAUGUACGGUAAGAAUAAGGAUCGGCUAACUCCGUGCCAGCAGCCGCGGUAAUACGGAGGAUCCAAGCGUUAUCCGGAUUUAUUGGGUUUAAAGGGUGCGUAGGUGGCCUAUUAAGUCAGGGGUGAAAGACGGUAGCUUAACUAUCGCAGUGCCUUUGAUACUGAUGGGCUUGAAUACACUUGAGGUAGGCGGAAUGUGACAAGUAGCGGUGAAAUGCAUAGAUAUGUCACAGAACACCAAUUGCGAAGGCAGCUUACUAAAGUGUUAUUGACACUGAGGCACGAAAGCGUGGGGAUCAAACAGGAUUAGAUACCCUGGUAGUCCACGCCCUAAACGAUGAAUACUCGAUGUUGGCGAUAUACGGUCAGCGUCUAAGCGAAAGCGUUAAGUAUUCCACCUGGGGAGUACGCCCGCAAGGGUGAAACUCAAAGGAAUUGACGGGGGCCCGCACAAGCGGAGGAGCAUGUGGUUUAAUUCGAUGAUACGCGAGGAACCUUACCCGGGCUUGAAAGUUAGUGAAUGUGACAGAGACGUCACAGUCCUUCGGGACACGAAACUAGGUGCUGCAUGGCUGUCGUCAGCUCGUGCCGUGAGGUGUUGGGUUAAGUCCCGCAACGAG
rnacentral:rRNA from 1 species